GACGAACGCUGGCGGCGUGCUUAACACAUGCAAGUCGAACGGAAAGGCCCCUUUGGGGGUCCUCGAGUGGCGAACGGGUGAGUAACACGUGAGUAACCUGCCCUUGACUUCGGGAUAACUUCAGGAAACUGGGGCUAAUACCGGAUAGGAAUCCUUGCUGCAUGGUGGGGGUUGGAAAGCUUCGGCGGUUUUGGAUGGACUCGCGGCUUAUCAGCUUGUUGGUGGGGUAGUGGCUUACCAAGGCUUUGACGGGUAGCCGGCCUGAGAGGGCGACCGGCCACAUUGGGACUGAGAGACGGCCCAGACUCCGACGGGAGGCAGCAGGGGGGAAGAUUGCACAAUGGGCGGAAGCCGGAUGCAGCAACGCCGCGUGCGGGAGGACGGCCUUCGGGUUGUAAACCGCUUUCAGCAGGGGCGAAGCUUGUGGUGACGGUACCUGCAGAAGAAGCACCGGCUAACUACGUG
rnacentral:rRNA from 1 species